AUUGAACGCUGGCGGCAGGCCUAACACAUGCAAGUCGAACGAGUGGCGGACGGGUGAGUAAUGUCUGGGAAACUGCCCGAUGGGGGGGGAUAACGACAGGAAACGGUAGCUAAUACCGCAUACCAUCGGAUGUGCCCAGGUUGGAUUAGCUUGUAGGUGGGGUAACGGCUCACCUAGGCGUCGAUCCCUAGCUGGUCUGAGAGGAUGACCAGCCACACUGGAACUGAGACACGGUCCAGACUCCUACGGGAGGCAGCAGUGGGGAAUAUUGGACAAUGGGCGCAAGCCUGAUGCAGCCAUGCCGCGUGUGUGAAGAAGGCCUUCGGUUUGUAAAGCACUUUCAGCGGGGAGGCGUUACCCGCAGAAUAAGCACCGGCUAACUCCGUGCCAGCAGCCGCGGUAAUAC
rnacentral:rRNA from 1 species